UGAAAAGGAAGGAAAAUGUUGUUUUUCCUGUUUCAAUCCUGAAAAAAAUUAGGGUUGGUAGGAGGGAUUAUUAUUUGUUUGCCCAAGCUAUAGUGAUACAAUACAGUUGAACAAAGUGAACUGAAAUGCAUGAGAGCACUUGUCUUUCAACACCAAACUCUAAUUUUGUACAUAAUGGACACAUUUCUCCUUCAUAAGAUAGGACAAGCAGGGUUUUUACUUCAAUAGGAAGAAGGCUGAAUAAAAAUUCCAACUGGAAACUAUGUGACUUGAAGAAAGUAAUAACUUAUAAGUGGGGCAACCUGAAAUGUGGAUGGCACAACUUGGCUGUUGACUCAGGCAACCUGACUGAAAAAUGUAUUUGAACACUGAAUCCAGCUUAUUAGCCAGGAAUGAAGCUUAACACCUACAGAAACAGUGUGAGGUAGCCUCAGCUGGGGCAGUAUCGUUACCCCUGCAAUGCAGAAGCCUCUCACACACAGCCUGGACUGUUCCUGUGUGGAGCAGAGUUUGGUAUAAAAAUACAGGCGACAUUUGGACUGUAUUAGUCUGGUCUGGUCCCAGAUGAAAGUGAGAAUGUGGGGUGUUGUUGACUGUGGAGCCAGGGCACGUAAGGCCACGUAAACCUGAUUGUGUAGGCUACUGCAGUGGGAUUGUAGGUUUCAGGAUCUGUGUAGAAAGAGAGAGAGA